ensembl:snoRNA
AUACAUCUAUUUUUGACAGAGCUGGAGCAGUUAACAUCUGCUCCUAAGGUUUCUACUACAGAUGCAAGAAAAAGUGUUUCAUACUUUCUGUUUGUUUAACUGUGGCAGCCAGAUUGAAUGAGGAAAUAAAGUA